CCUACGGGCGGCAGCAGUGAGGAAUAUUGGUCAAUGGGCGAGAGCCUGAACCAGCCAAGUCGCGUGAGGGAGUACUGCCCUAUGGGUUGUAAACCUCUUUUGUCGGGGAGCAAAAGCCGGACGUGUCCGGCUGUGAGAGUACCCGAAGAAAAAGCAUCGGCUAACUCCGUGCCAGCAGCCGCGGUAAUACGGAGGAUGCGAGCGUUAUCCGGAUUUAUUGGGGUUAAAGGGUGCGCAGGCGGAUUUUUAAGUCAGCGGUCAAAUCGUGGGGCUCAACCCCAUCCAGCCGUUGAAACUGGGGAUCUAGAGUGUGCGAGAGGUAUGCGGAAUGCGUGGUGUAGCGGUGAAAUGCAUAGAUAUCACGCAGAACCCCGAUUGCGAAGGCAGCAUACCGGUGCACAACUGACGCUCAGGCACGAAAGUGUGGGUAUCGAACAGGAUUAGAUACCCUAGUAGUC
rnacentral:rRNA from 1 species